rnacentral:rRNA from 1 species
UACGAAGGGGGCUAGGCGUUGCUCGGAAUUACUGGGCGUAAAGGGCGCGAGUAGGCGGAUAGUUUAGUCAGAGGUGAAAGCCCAGGGCUCAACCUUGGAAUUGCCUUUGAUACUGGCUAUCUUGAGUUCGGGAGAGGUGAGUGGAAUGCCGAGUGUAGAGGUGAAAUUCGUAGAUAUUCGCAAGAACACCAGUGGCGAAGGCGGCUCACUGGCUCGGUACUGACGCUGAGGUGGCGAAAGCGUGGGGAGCAACAGGGAUUAAGAUACCC